CAAGCAGAUCGGGUAAUCGCCCCGGUUUUACCGGGGAGGAAAGUCCGGGCUCCACAGGGCAGGAUGCUUCCUAACGGGAAGUCUCGGUGACGGGAAGGAAAGUGCAACAGAAAAUACACAGCCCCGGCUUGGUCCGGGGUAAAGGUGAAAUGGCGGGGUAAGAGCCCACCGGUGUCCGGGUGACCGGGCAGCCUGGCAAACCCCAUCCGGAGCAAGACCAAAUAGGGAGGCGCUUGAGGGUGGCCCGCCCGAUGCCUCCGGGUUAGGUCGCUUGACCCUGAUGGCGACAUCAGGGCUAGAGGAAUGAUUACCAUCCCAUGAAAAUGGGAUACAGAACCCGGCUUAUAGAUCUGCUUGGGAC
rnacentral:RNase_P_RNA from 7 species